rnacentral:rRNA from 1 species
GACAGAGGUCCCAAGCGUUAGGCGGAAUCACUGGGCUUAAAGCGUGUGUAGGCGGAUUUGUAAGUACCUUGUGAAAUCCCACGGCUCAACCGUGGAACUGCUUGGUAUACUGCUUAUCUUGGGCCAUCUAGGGGCGAGCGGAACAAACGGUGGAGCGGUGAAAUGCGUAGAUAUCGUUUGGAACGCCAAUGGUGAAAACAGCUCGCUGGGGAUGUGCCGACGCUGAGAUACGAAAGCGUGGGGAGCAAACAGG